rnacentral:rRNA from 1 species
GGUGAGUAACACGUGAGUAACCUGCCCUUGACUCUGGGAUAAGCGCUGGAAACGGCGUCUAAUACCGGAUACGACCUUCUUCCGCAUGGAAUGGGGGUGGAAAGUUUUUCGGUCAAGGAUGGACUCGCGGCCUAUCAGCUUGUUGGUGAGGUAAUGGCUCACCAAGGCGACGACGGGUAGCCGGCCUGAGAGGGUGACCGGCCACACUGGGACUGAGACACGGCCCAGACUCCUACGGGAGGCAGCAGUGGGGAAUAUUGCACAAUGGGCGAAAGCCUGAUGCAGCAACGCCGCGUGAGGGAUGACGGCCUUCGGGUUGUAAACCUCUUUUAGUAGGGAAGAAGCGAAAGUGACGGUACCUGCAGAAAAAGCACCGGCUAACUACGUGCCAGCAGCCGCGGUAAUACGUAGGGUGCAAGCGUUGUCCGGAAUUAUUGGGCGUAAAGAGCUCGUAGGCGGUUUGUCGCGUCUGCUGUGAAAACCCGAGGCUCAACCUCGGGCCUGCAGUGGGUACGGGCAGACUAGAGUGCGGUAGGGGAGAAUGGAAUUCCUGGUGUAGCGGUGGAAUGCGCAGAUAUCAGGAGGAACACCGAUGGCGAAGGCAGUUCUCUGGGCCGUAACUGACGCUGAGGAGCGAAAGCGUGGGGAGCGAACAGGAUUAGAUACCCUGGUAGUCCACGCCGUAAACGUUGGGCGCUAGAUGUGGGGACCUUUCCACGGUUUCCGUGUCG